GAUGAAGAACGUAGCGAAAUGCGAUAAGUAAUGUGAAUUGCAGAAUUCAGUGAAUCAUCGAAUCUUUGAACGCACAUUGCGCCCGCCAGUAUUCUGGCGGGCAUGCCUGUUCGAGCGUCAUUUCAACCCUCAAGACCCCUUCGGGGGACUUGGUGUUGGGGACCGGCAUAGGGGCCUUGCGCCCCUCGCCGCCCCCGAAAUGAAUUGGCGGCCUCGUCGCGGCCUCCCCUGCGUAGUAGCACAACCUCGCAACGGGAACGUGACGGCGGCCACUGCCGUAAAACAACCCGAUUUUAUUAGAGUUGACCUCGAAUCAGGUAGGAAUACCCGCUGAACUUAAGCAUAUCAAUAAGCGGAGGA
rnacentral:misc_RNA from 1 species